GCUUGCGGCGUGGAUAAGACAUGCAAGUCGAACGCAAAUCAUACUGUAGCAAUACAGUGUGGUUUGAGUGGCGCAAGGGUGCGUAACACGUGGGUAAUUUGCCGUGAAGUUGGGGAUAACUCGCUGAAAGGCGAGCUAAUACCGGAUGUGAAUGCUUGGAGGAAUCCUUGGUGGACUAAAGGUGGGGAUCUUCGGACCUGCCGCUUCAUGAUAAGCCCGCGGCCUAUCAGCUUGUUGGUGAGGUAAAAGCUCACCAAGGCUAAGACGGGUAACUGGUCUGAGAGGACGGUCGGUCACACUGGAACUGAGACACGGUCCAGACACCUACGGGUGGCAGCAGUCGAGAAUCAUUCACAAUGGGCGAAAGCCUGAUGGUGCGACGCCGCGUGGGGGAUGAAGUGCUUCGGUAUGUAAACCCCUGUCAUCUGCGAGCAAACCUUUUCGGUUAACACCUGGAAAGCUGAUAGUAGCAGAAGAGGAAGGGACGGCUAACUCUGUGCCAGCAGCCGCGGUAAUACAGAGGUCCCAAGCGUUGUUCGGAUUCACUGGGCGUAAAGGGUGCGUAGGCGGCAUGGCAAGUUUGGUGUGAAAGCUCCGAGCUCAACUCGGAAAUUGCACUGAAAACUGCCAAGCUCGAGGAUCGGAGGGGAGAGUGGAAUUCUUGGUGUAGCAGUGAAAUGCGUAGAUAUCAAGAGGAACACCGGUGGCGAAGGCGACUCUCUGGACGAUUCCUGACGCUGAGGCACGAAGGCUAGGGGAGCAAACAGGAUUAGAUACCCUGGUAGUCCACACCGUAAACGGUGUGCACUUGCUGUAGGAGGAUUCGACCCCUUCUGUGGCGGAGCUAACGUGUUAAGUGCACCGCCUGGGGAGUACGGUCGCAAGAUUAAAACUCAAAGAAAUUGACGGGGGCCUGCACAAGCGGUGGAGUAUGUGGCUUAAUUCGAUGCAACGCGAAGAACCUUACCUGGCCUUGACAUGUAUCUCUAAGGCUGUGAAAGCAGUCUCGCGCCCUUCGGGGCAAUUUACACAGGUGCUGCAUGGCUGUCGUCAGCUCGUGUCGUGAGAUGUUGGGUUAAGUCCCGCAACGAGCGCAACCCUUGUGUCCUGUUGCCACCCGAACGAGAGUUCGGAGCACUCUGGACAGACUGCCUCAUUUAAAUGAGGAGGAAGGUGGGGAUGACGUCAAGUCAGUAUGGCCCUUACGGCCAGGGCUGCACACGUACUACAAUGCCCGGCACAGAGGGAAGCAAGACCGCAAGGUGGAGCAAAUCUCAAAAAACCGGGCCCAGUUCGGAUUGUCGUCUGCAACUCGACGGCAUGAAGUUGGAAUCGCUAGUAAUGGCGCAUCAGCUACGGCGCCGUGAAUACGUUCCCAGGCCUUGUACACACCGCCCGUCACAUCAUGAAAGCCGUUUGUACCCGAAGUCCAUGUGCUAACCUUUAGGAGGCAGUGGCCGAAGGUAUGGGUGGUGAUUGGGAU
rnacentral:rRNA from 1 species